rnacentral:rRNA from 1 species
UACGUAGGUGACAAGCGUUAUCCGGAAUUACUGGGCGUAAAGCGCACGCAGGCGGCGUGGUAAGUCUGAUGUGAAAUCUCCCGGCUUAACUGGGAGGGGUCAUUGGAAACUGCCGAGCUUGAGGCGAUGAGAGGGGUGUAGAAUUCCCGGUGUAGUGGUGGAAUGCGUAGAUAUCGGGAGGAAUACCAGUGGCGAAAGCGGCACCCUGGCAUUAGCCUGACGCUCAUGUGCGAAGGCGUGGGGGAGCGAACGGG